CGAAAAAUAACGAUACGGGACUCAUCCGAGGCCCCGUAAUCGGAAUGAGUACACUCUAAACCCUUUAACGAGGAUCAAUUGGAGGGCAAGUCUGGUGCCAGCAGCCGCGGUAAUUCCAGCUCCAAUAGCGUAUAUUAAAGUUGUUGCGGUUAAAAAGCUCGUAGUCGAAUUUGUGUCCCGCGCCGCCGGUUCAUCGCUCGCGGUGUCAACUGGCGUGUCCGCGGGACGUCCUGCCGGUGGGCUUAGCCCCUGUGGGCGGCCCAAUCUCAAUCCCACCGCGGUGCUCUUCACUGAGUGUCGAGGUGGGCCGGCACGUUUACUUUGAACAAAUUAGAGUGCUUAAAGCAGGCUAAAACAUCGCCUGAAUACUGUGUGCAUGGAAUAAUGGAAUAGGACCUCGGUUCUAUUUUGUUGGUUUUCGGAACCCCGAGGUAAUGAUUAAUAGGAACGGAUGGGGGCAUUCGUAUUGCGACGUUAGAGGUGAAAUUCUUGGAUCGUCGCAAGACGGACAGAAGCGAAAGCAUUUGCCAAAAACGCUUUCAUUGAUCAAGAACGAAAGUUAGAGGUUCGAAGGCGAUCAGAUACCGCCCUAGUUCUAACCAUAAACGAUGCCAGCUAGCGAUCCGCCGACGUUCCUCCGAUGACUCGGCGGGCAGCUUCCGGGAAACCAAAGCUUUUGGGUUCCGGGGGAAGUAUGGUUGCAAAGCUGAAACUUAAAGGAAUUGACGGAAGGGCACCACCAGGAGUGGAGCCUGCGGCUUAAUUUGACUCAACACGGGAAACCUCACCAGGCCCGGACACCGGAAGGAUUGACAGAUUGAGAG
rnacentral:rRNA from 16 species